CGCGACGAUCCGGUUGGUUCCGGGCGCCGGUUCAUACCCGGUCGCGCAACGGGUUCGACUCCCGCCGUCGCGU
rnacentral:tRNA from 1 species